rnacentral:misc_RNA from 1 species
CAUAUGCCGCGAGGUGAAAUGAAAUUCGCCUGAGGAUGAGCCCGCGUCUGAUUAGCUAGUUGGUGGGGUAAAGGCCUACCAAGGCUACGAUCAGUAGCUGGUCUGAGAGGAUGAUCAGCCACACUGGGACUGAGACACGGCCCAGACUCCUACGGGAGGCAGCAGUGGGGAAUUUUCCGCAAUGGGCGAAAGCCUGACGGAGCAACGCCGCGUGAGGGAUGAAGGCCUCUGGGCUGUAAACCUCUUUUCUCAAGGAAGAAGAUCUGACGGUACUUGAGGAAUAAGCCACGGCUAAUUCCGUGCCAGCAGCCGCGGUAAUACGGGAGUGGCAAGCGUUAUCCGGAAUUAUUGGGCGUAAAGCGUCCGCAGGCGGCUCUGUAAGUCUGCUGUCAAAGCGUGGAGCUUAGCUCCAUUUCGGCAGUGGAAACUACAGGGCUUGAGUGUGGUAGGGGCAGAGGGAAUUCCCGGUGUAGCGGUGAAAUGCGUAGAUAUCGGGAAGAACACCAGUGGCGAAGGCGCUCUGCUGGGCCAUAACUGACGCUCAUGGACGAAAGCCAGGGGAGCGAAAGGGAUUAGAUACCCCUGUAGCCCUGGCCGUAAACGAUGAACACUAGGUGUCGGGGGAAUCGACCCCCUCGGUGUCGUAGCCAACGCGUUAAGUGUUCCGCCUGGGGAGUACGCACGCAAGUGUGAAACUCAAAGGAAUUGACGGGGGCCCGCACAAGCGGUGGAGUAUGUGGUUUAAUUCGAUGCAACGCGAAGAACCUUACCAGGGUUUGACAUCCUGCGAACCUCUGAGAAAUCGGAGGGUGCCUUCGGGAACGCAGAGACAGGUGGUGCAUGGCUGUCGUCAGCUCGUGUCGUGAGAUGUUGGGUUAAGUCCCGCAACGAGCGCAACCCACGUCGUUAGUUGCCAGCAUUCAGUUGGGCACUCUAGCGAGACCGCUGGUGAUAAACCGGAGGAAGGUGUGGAUGACGUCAAGUCAUCAUGCCCCUUACAUCCUGGGCUACACACGUACUACAAUGCUACGGACAAAGGGCAGCGAGCUCGCGAGAGUAAGCAAAUCCCAUAAACCGUGGCUCAGUUCAGAUCGUAGGCUGCAACUCGCCUACGUGAAGGAGGAAUCGCUAGUAAUCGCAGGUCAGCAUACUGCGGUGAAUACGUUCCCGGGCCUUGUACACACCGCCCGUCACACCAUGGAAGUUGGCCAUGCCCGAAGUCGUUACUCCAACCCUUGUGGAGGAGGACGCCGAAGGUGGGGCUGAUGACUGGGGUGAAGUCGUAACAAGGUAGCCGUACCGGAAGGUGCGGCUGGAUCACCUCCUAACAGGGAGACAAACUGAUGGUGAUGUCUGAGUAAUUAUAAUCUCAGGCCGCUAUCCUGUCAUCUUUAGGUCGAUCGGUACCUCAGGGAGUUUGCUGUGGAAAAGGGUGGCAACACCAAGGUGGUAACACCGAGGUGAAGAUAUUCGAUUCAGCGGCAACACUUUUUCAGUUCCUAAACUUUGUCUAGGUCACCCCACAGCGGGAAAGUUCCUGGGCCAUUAGCUCAGGUGGUUAGAGCGCACCCCUGAUAAGGGUGAGGUCCCUGGUUCAAGUCCAGGAUGGCCCAUUCAUGUUUGGGGGUUUAGCUCAGUUGGUAGAGCGCCUGCUUUGCAAGCAGGAUGUCAGCGGUUCGAGUCCGCUAACCUCCAUCCAAUGUUGUUGCUCUGCCCUCGGACCAUGCAUGUUUAAAGCAUGUGAGGUAAGGAGUUCUGCCGUUGUGUUGAUCUGGAUGUUGUUCGCUGAAGAUUUCAGCUUCUUUUCAUUCUUGUUUCAAUACGAGAUAAGUUGAAAAGACGCUGGAUUCAAUGCUGCCCUGGAGACAGGGCCGUUUGAAUCUCAGCAGAACCUUGACAACUGCAUAGGUAAGUCUGGAAAUAAAGCAUCUCAUGGAUGCUUGAUUCUAGGUUGAGUUGAAUCCAGCAAUAGAUUUAAUUCAAGUUUGAAUCAAGAAAAUUCUAUUGAGUUUUUAGAGCCGAGAGCUUUCAGUUUUCUUCUAGGCCCGCCGAGGGUUUAGGAGUUUGAUCCUGGUAUUCAAACCGCAACAGAGAGUCUGAGCAAUCAGGUUCAAAGCUUGUAGGUGAAUCCAGAGAGAAUAGGCCUCAACAGCC